UACGUAGGGUGCAGGCGUUAAUCGGAAUUACUGGGCGUAAAGCGUGCGCAGGCGGCUCCUUAAGUCAGAUGUGAAAUCCCCAGGCUUAACCUGGGAACUGCAUCCGAUACUGGAUGGCUUGAAUCCGGGAGAGGGAUGCAGAAUUCCAGGUGUAGCGGUGAAAUGCGUAGAUAUCUGGAGGAAUACCGGUGGCGAAGGCGGCAUCCUGGACCGGCAUUGACGCUGAGUGAGCGAAAGCCAGGGGAGCAAACGGG
rnacentral:rRNA from 1 species